rnacentral:snRNA from 1 species
UGUCCUCCAUAGGAGGUCUAUAUUGAGCAGAUUCUUUUUGGUAUUGGGUGGUGGAACUGGAGCGUGCUCCAUCCACUCCAUGAAUUGACCUGGUAUUACAGUGCUUCCAGGACCGGUGC